CUCGAUCCGUCCAGGCAAGAAACCUAGCCGCCGGCGCUCCUUCCGCCGCCGCCUCCACCCACCCCUGCUUCCGCCGCCGCCUCCACCCACCCUGCUUCCGACGCCGCCUCCACCCAUCCCCUCCUCACUUUCUAUCGAUCCAUCGAAGGAGAGGCUCCCGCGGAUCCAAGAGGCUGACCCUCAACGGCGUCAACCUCGACGGCACGCGCUCCCACUCGGGGGAUGCCCGGCUAGAUGCUUGAUGCGUCAACAUCAACGUCAACGUCGACGGCAACGGGAGAGGAGGAGUCUGCUCGCUCGGGGGACGACGACGACGACCCAUCUCCUCCUCACCGACGAAAUCGCCUACCACUCGACUCCUGAGGAAAAAGGGAGAUCAUCGUGGAAUCAAGGGUUGUCUUUGCGGUCAGAGGACAAAUGCUGGUCGAAUAAUCAAAGAAAGCUAUGGCACUGUAAAGCAACAACAUACAUUCACUGUUGAGAUUUUCUGGAGUAAAGGCUACAAUCGAUAGCCUCCCCUUCAUCCUCUCCUCAUAAAGGGCGGAAACCUUUACAAGGAUAAGACCGUGAGACAGCCAUGGCCUCAUGAACAGGAAAGAAGCAGAGUCCUACAAGAAAAACAUGCAAGAGGGUUCCAGGCACGUAAGUCAAGGGAGAUCAGGAUACAUGAGAAAGAGAUUGACAAGAUGAGGAGAUUUAAUAGGAUGGUCUCAAGCACUCAGAAGAAGUGGAGGGCGGAAGAAGCAUCGUUUCUCAUCGUAUGAAUUAAGAAGCCACAUAGUUAUUCAUAGAAAAAAGGACACAUCUAGUUACAUACAAAGGAAGUCUACGGUACAUAGUAAUAGUAGCUAAUAGACCAGAAUGUACUAAGCUUUUUGUUUCUAUAUUUAUACAUGCUUGAGCUGAAGCUUGACCGAUGCAUGCCAAAUUUUACUGGUUAAAGUUUGCCAUGUCUAUCCCUGAUUUCUUAUACAGGUACUGAGACAGGGCUGCAGUAAAUAAAUAUUAGCUUUAUUUUGUGGGGUUUUGUUUGUUUGGAACAAAAUAUUCUAGAAGCCUAGAAUGCAUGAUCAUCUCAUUCAGGAAUGUCUACUUUCUACCCAAUGUCGGUUGCAUGCAAGACUUAAACACACCCUGGAAUUGUGAUAUCUGAUAAUAUUUUCUUUUGGAUCCAGUUCGAUGUUCAUUGGAUCGUAUCCCUAUGGUUUGGUUUGGUUUGUUAAGAUUGCAACCUAGUUUAGUUUGACAAGCUUAUGCUCAUGAUCCAAGGAGACUACAUACAUGGUACCAGUGAAAUAUGGUGCACACUGGGUCUUUCCAUUGUUGUAGUCUGGCGAACAAACUAGUACUUUCAAGUAAUCAUAAUUUUGCUAACAUUGAUUAUGUUACACAUUAUAGGUACAUUUAAGCUAACCCUGUAAUUCACAGAAGAUUACCCCAACAAGCCACCAACUGUUCGGUUUGUCUCAAGGAUGUUCCACCCAAACAUUUAUGCAGAUGGAAGCAUCUGCUUGGAUAUCCUACAGAACCAGUGGAGCCCUAUAUAUGAUGUUGCAGCAAUAUUGACCUCUAUCCAGGAUGAUCUAAAGCACCCAGAAGAAGUAGAUGAUAGGACAGGAGGAGGGAAUAAAAUGCUUCGUUUAUCAUUGAUGUUAUGUGUGAUCAACAAAAACUUGUGCUUCUCAUCCAAUCUUUCUCGAACUAUGUUGAUGUGUGAUACGCACUUGUUGGGCCCUUUUGCUGUACACGUGCACUUGUAGAACUAUUUUGUUGCGCACUUGUUGGGCCUUGAACAUUUAUG